GUAGAGUUGUCUUUUUUUUUUUUAGUAGAAUUAAAAAUGCCUUCUAUUUCAAGGAUCGCUGGGAGAAAUCUGCAUUCCUUAGGUGGUUUUAGGUGGAAAUCUCAAGCCCCUCCCCAAGAAUCUACCUUUGUUAAAAGUGAUUCUGGGCCGGGGAUUUAGCUCAGCAGCUCUGUUGCCUGCCUCGCAAGCGCAAGGACCCGAGUUCGAUCCCCGGUACAAAAAAAAAAAAAGUGAUUUUAUUCAUCUGUGGACCCAAGGCCAUUUUGGCUUCCCUGACAUGCUUCCAAAUUAAAAUCAUAAAUAAUGGCAAAGGAAAAUGAAAUGCUAGAAACUGCUUCUUGCCUCCUUGCCCCUUUUCUAUUCUGAAAAUCUUCUUGAAACAAUUUAAAGUGGCCAAGAACUUAGGCAGGGGGAAUAAGGCCAGAAUUCAAAAAUGAACAGGGCUAUUUAAAGCAUAUUAAAUGCAUGUUUCCUCCUGACAUUUCACUUCUCCCUCUUUUAAUUAUGUGGAGAGAACCGAGUUGGCCAGAGAUUGUGCUUCCCGCAAAGAUAUCUCGGGCAGAGCCACACAGUGCCUGAGCAAAGCAACGAAGAGGCUGUGUGGGUACCCUGCAGCAGCAGUGCGGUUUGAAUAUGGCGACACCAAGACUGCAGGGCAAGGACAGCUGAAGUGAAACCGGAUGGAAGCUUCAGUCUUUCCAGUGACCCAGCCACCUCCCAAGUCAAGAAAGGCCUAAGCAGCACUGAUGCUGUUCUGGGGACCAAAGCUGGAGGUGCUGUUGGGUAGAGCAGGGGAAGAAGAGGCAUGAAUAACAGCACUGAGCUGAGCCAGUCUGUUUGAGAGGUCAGGCUCAGUUCACCCAGGCACAACCUAAGAAAACCGAGCUCACUGCUCUCAGGAGCCCCCUCCCUUGAUCCUAUCAGGCCAUCUGUGGGAGGAGGACACAACCUAAGGGGAAUUCCAGGGACCAGGCAUCUCCAGAAAAACAUGCUGAGGCCCCAGGCAGCCCUACCUUGCCUUCCCCACCAAUUCCAGCAGCCCACUCAUUUAUCUUUUUCAUUAAAAAAGAGAGGCAUUUCUUCCCUGAAGGGCACCCAGUAGAAAGCUGCCUUCCUUCCUUUGUUAUUGAGCAUGCUUUGACAGAAUGUACAAUUUCUUCUGAUCUGUUAUACGUCAACAUCCAAGUAUGUAAGUACGUUCCAGAAGUAUGUUCUCAAGCACCUCCUGUUACCCAGAGAAGCUGUGUAUUAGUAUGAAAUUGAACAUAACCAACCAGUGCUUUUAACCUAGGUGAGAAAAUCAGAGAAAGCAGAAAUCCCAGAACCCCUGGCUGCAGAGUUACAAUUCCACAUGCUGCCCUGUGUGACUGUGGACAAGUGCCCCCAUGCCUCGACAGGCCAAUUUUCUGAGGAUACUGGGCAGUCUCCAGGUUCUCUUACAGCUCCAACUUUCUAUGAUUCUCUAAGACUUGGCAGCAAAGCACACACAGCACAGCAGGGAGCACAGAGUAGACUGUCUGAGAGACUCCCCAGGGCCCACACUGGCAGAAAGAAUAAGGGUGGUGUGCACAGGAAGGGGUAAAGCCUGCUGCAGAACGAGCAUGAGCUUUAAACAACUGAAAUAUCAUUUUUCACCUACCAGACUGGCAAAAAGGAAAAAGGAAACUACCUUGGGGGAAGCUGGCACUCUCAAACAAUGCUGUUGGGAACACAUUUUGAAAUAGCUUUCCAAGAAAGGAAUUCAGCAGUAAGCAUGAAAACCCUGAAACAUGUGCACAUUUUUUGACCCAGCGAUGAACCCUUCCUAGUGAUAUAACUCAGGGAAAUAAUUGGGCAAAAAAAGACAAAGGGAUAUGAAGACAGAUGUUCACUUUUCCAGCAUUGUUGCCAACACUGGGAAACAGUAGAAACUGUGUGUUUAUUAUGUGCAGUAGGUAAAAUGCUAUCUAUAAGGUAAAAUGAUGGAAUGGAUCCUUGUAAAAGUGACAUGGAAAUCUACGUGCCUGUGUCUGUGUGUCUCCCAGAGGGUGGGCAAGAAGGGGAGGAAAAGAACAGGGAAGCCACAGAAAGCAAUAUAUGCAAUGCUGCUAUUCCCCCCCCCAUUAAGUUUAUUGGUACAUUUUUGGUAUAAAAUACAGUUACAUUUAUGAGCA
rnacentral:lncRNA from 1 species